UACAGAGGUCCCAAGCGUUGUUCGGAUUCACUGGGCGUAAAGGGUGCGUAGGUGGCCAGGUAAGUUUGGUGUGAAAUCUCCGGGCUUAACCCGGAAAUGGCAUUGAAUACUAUCUGGCUCGAGGUUUGUAGGGGGGACUGGAAUUCUCGGUGUAGCAGUGAAAUGCGUAGAUAUCGAGAGGAACACCAGUGGCGAAGGCGGCGAUCUGGGUCGAUACUGACGCUGAGGUGCGAAAGCGUGGGGAGCAAACAGG
rnacentral:rRNA from 1 species